rnacentral:rRNA from 1 species
UACGUAGGGUGCAAGCGUUGUCCGGAAUUAUUGGGCGUAAAGAGCGCGCAGGCGGCUUGGCAAGUCGGGUGUGAAAUCCCGGGGCUCAACCCCGUGACUGCAUCCGAUACUGUCAGGCUAGAGGUAGGUAGGGGAGAUCGGAAUUCCUGGUGUAGCGGUGAAAUGCGCAGAUAUCAGGAGGAACACCAGUGGCGAAGGCGGAUCUCUGGGCCUUACCUGACGCUCAGGCGCGAAAGCUAGGGGAGCGAACAGG